GCACCCGUAGCUCAGUGGAUAGAGCGCCGCCCUCCGGAGGCGGAGGCCGCAGGUUCGAAUCCUGCCGGGUGCGCCA
rnacentral:tRNA from 2 species